CUGGUUGAUCCUGCCAGAGGUCACUGCUAUCGGGGUUCGAUUAAGCCAUGCGAGUCGAGAGGGUUCAGACCCUCGGCGGACUGCUCAGUAACACGUGGAUAACCUGCCCUAAGGUGGAGCAUAACCCCGGGAAACUGGGGAUAAUACUCCAUAGGUUAGAGAUACUGGAAUGUUCUUUAAUCGAAAGUUCCGGCGCCUUAGAAUGGAUCUGCGGCCGAUUAGGUUGUUGUUGGGGUAGUGGCCCAACAAGCCUGUAAUCGGUACGGGUUGUGGGAGCAAGAGCCCGGAGAUGGAAUCUGAGACACGAUUCCAGGCCCUACGGGGCGCAGCAGGCGCGAAAACUUUACAAUGCAGGAAACUGUGAUAAGGGAACCCCGAGUGCCCGUAUAUGCGGGCUGUCCGGAUGUUUAAAACGCAUCCGAAGAAAGGGCCGGGCAAGACCGGUGCCAGCCGCCGCGGUAAUACCGGCGGCUCGAGUGGUGGCCACUUUUAUUGGGCUUAAAGCGUUCGUAGCUUGAAUAAUAAGUCUCUUGGGAAAUCUGCAGGCUUAACCUGCAGGCGUUUAAGAGAAACUGUUGUUCUAGGAACCGGAAGAGGUGAGAGGUACUCCGGGGGUAGGAGUGAAAUCCUGUAAUCCCCGGGGGACCACCGAUGGCGAAGGCAUCUCACCAGGACGGCUUCGACAGUGAGGAACGAAAGCUGGGGGAGCGAACGGGAUUAGAUACCCCGGUAGUCCCAGCCGUAAACGAUGCGCGUUAGGUGUACUGGUGACCACGAGUCACUGGGGUGCCGAAGGGAAACCGUGAAACGUGCCGCCUGGGAAGUACGGUCGCAAGGCUGAAACUUAAAGGAAUUGGCGGGGGAGCACCAC
rnacentral:rRNA from 1 species